ensembl:rRNA 5S_rRNA 5S ribosomal RNA
GUCUAUGACCAUGCUACCCUAAACAAGCCCAAUCCCAUCUGAUCUUGGAAGCUAAGCAAGGUCAGGCCUGAUUAGUACUUGGAUGGGAGAGAACUUAGGAAGUCCAGGUGCUGUAAGCA